AGUGAACGCUGGCGGUAGGCCUAACACAUGCAAGUCGAACGGCAGCACAGUAAGAGCUUGCUCUUACGGGUGGCGAGUGGCGGACGGGUGAGGAAUACAUCGGAAUCUACUUUUUCGUGGGGGAUAACGUAGGGAAACUUACGCUAAUACCGCAUACGACCUACGGGGGAAAGCAUGGGAUCUUCUGACCUUGCGCGAUUGAAUGAGCCGAUGUCGGAUUAGCUAGUUGGCGGGGUAAAGGCCCACCAAGGCGACGAUCCGUAGCUGGUCUGAGAGGAUGGUCAGCCACACUGGAACUGAGACACGGUCCAGACUCCUACGAGAGGCAGCAGUGGGGAAUAUUGGACAAUGGGCGCAAGCCUGAUCCAGCCAUAGCGCGUGGGUGAAGAAGGCCUUCGGGUUGUAAAGCCCUUUUGUUGGGAAAGAAAAGCAGCAGGUUAAUACCCCGCUGUUCUGACGGUACCCAAAGAAUAAGCACCGGCUAACUUCGUG
rnacentral:rRNA from 1 species